rnacentral:rRNA from 1 species
UACGAAGUGGGCUAGCGUUGUUCGGAAUUACUGGGCGUAAAGCGCACGUAGGCGGACUAUUAAGUCAGGGGUGAAAUCCCGGGGCUCAACCCCGGAACUGCCUUUGAUACUGGUAGUCUCGAGUCCGGAAGAGGUGAGUGGAAUUCCGAGUGUAGAGGUGAAAUUCGUAGAUAUUCGGAGGAACACCAGUGGCGAAGGCGGCUCACUGGUCCGGUACUGACGCUGAGGUGCGAUAGCGUGGGGAGCAAACAGG